UACGUAGGGGGCAAGCGUUGUCCGGAUUUAUUGGGCGUAAAGAGCGUGUAGGCGGCUUGGUAGGUCGCUGUGAAAACUCGAGGCUCAACCUCGAGACGCCGGUCGGAAACCAUCAGGCUAGAGUCCGGAAGAGGAGAGUGGAAUUCCUGGUGUAGCGGUGAAAUGCGCAGAUAUCAGGAAGAACACCCGUGGCUAAGGCGGCUCUCUAGUACGGUACUGACGCUGAGGAGCGAAAGCGUGGGGAGCGAACAGG
rnacentral:rRNA from 1 species